UAGACCGCCUGGGGAGUACGGCCGCAAGGUUAAAACUCAAAUGAAUUGACGGGGGCCCGCACAAGCGGUGGAGCAUGUGGUUUAAUUCGAUGCAACGCGAAGAACCUUACCUGGUCUUGACAUCCACGGAAGAAUUCAGAGAUGGAUUUGUGCCUUCGGGAACCGUGAGACAGGUGCUGCAUGGCUGUCGUCAGCUCGUGUUGUGAAAUGUUGGGUUAAGUCCCGCAACGAGCGCAACCCUUAUCCUUUGUUGCCAGCGAUUAGGUCGGGAACUCAAAGGAGACUGCCAGU
rnacentral:rRNA from 2 species